CCUACGGGUGGCUGCAGUAGGGAAUGUUUCACAAUGGGCGAAAGCCUGAUGGAGCAAUGCCGCGUGAAUGAUGAAGGUCUUAUAGAUUGUAAAAUUCUUUUAUUGGGGAAGAAAAACUAAAGGAGGAAAUGACUUUAGUCUGACUGUACCAUGGGAAUAAGUAUCGGCUAACUAUGUGCCAGCAGCCGCGGUAAUAACUAGGAUGCAAGCGUUAUCCGGAUUUACUGGGCGGAAAACGAGCGCAGGCGGGUUAACAAGUUUGGUCUGAAAGGCUUUUGCUUAACGCAAGUUUGUAUCACAAACUGUUAAUCUAGAGUGUAGUAGAGUGUUCUGGAAUUCCAUGUGGAGCGGUGUAAUGCGUAGAUAUAUGGAAGAACACCAGUGGCGAAGGCGAGACCUUAGGCUAUCACUGACGCUUAGGCUCGAAAGUGUGGGUAGCAAAUAGGAUUAGAUACCCGUGUAGUC
rnacentral:rRNA from 1 species